rnacentral:rRNA from 1 species
UACGUAGGGGGCAAGCGUUAUCCGGAAUUACUGGGUGUAAAGGGUGCGUAGGCGGCACGCCAAGUCAGUUGUGAAACCCGUAGGCUCAACCUACGGCUUGCAAUUGAAACUGGCGAGCUAGAGUACAGGAGAGGAAAGCGGAAUUCCUAGUGUAGCGGUGAAAUGCGUAGAUAUUAGGAAGAACGCCGGUGGCGAAGGCGGCUUUCUGGACUGAAACUGACGCUGAGGCACGAAAGCGUGGGGAGCAAACAGG